rnacentral:lncRNA from 1 species
GAGCACCACUUAUCCCAGUACGUUCCAUUUCAUCCACUUUGAUCCAUGUCAUGAUAUGUACAGUUAAUAUGACCUUACAAAUAACUCUCAGAUGGUCGGUGCCCCUACAUCAGGAAGUCAUUAGAAGCUGACCUCUCAUCCAGCCACAGAAGGAGAUGAGUCAUACAGUGUUCUUACUGUUAACUUGGAAAAGAAUCAAGGAGGAGACAGAGACAUAUUUGCUAAUGAUGCAAAAUGGAGGUAGAUGCACACAGAGAAACUGAGGGGAAAGGAGAGGGAAGGAAUAAUCAAGGAUAUAUGAUGACAUUUUAAAUCCAGAAAGUCACAGUUUUGGAAUCCACUAAGGGCCUUAGAGAUCAUCUUGAGCAGCUCCCUCAGUGAGGAAAUCAAAUUGCAAAAUUCUCUGAUUUUAUAACUCUAAUAACUUUCACUACAUUGAAAUUUGGGAAAAAAUCACUAUAUUGAAAAUGAGAUCUACUCAACAAAGAUCAUUAAGGAGGAAAACAAGUUCUGGCAGGGGCUGUUUAGCUGUGAAGACUUUGAUAAUGCUCUGAUGAAAGAUGGAUGAUGUGUCUGUAGGCCAAGAGCCAUACUUGAAAAAUAACUCAGUUCAAAGAAACUUGUCAUGGAAAGAUGAUGAAACUGUGACACAGAGGACUGAAGUACCUAAAUCAAAGCCUGAGAAGACUGCCUGAAGUUUGAACAAAAGGCAGUGAAGAAGGAAGAGGCAGUGAGGUAUGAACAGAAGAGAAAGAUCAAGAAAAAUGUGAACUCUGUUAUUGCAAAGAGAACCUCAAAGGAAGCAUGUUCUGCUCUUUUAUGUGUUGGUAUUCAUCAAUUUCAUGUUGCUUUAAUCUAAUAAUUUCCGGAUCAUUUCCUUAGAUAUUUUUUCUCUGCACAGAAGUGAAUAGAGGGAAUGGUUUGAUGCCUUCCCUCUUGGCAGAGAAAUAAGCACAUGCCCAAUUACCUGCCUAUAAAAUUAUGAUAUUAAAUACUGUAGCUAUGUGACUAUCAAAGAAAAAAAUUAGGUGCAUAGCAAAUUUUCAAGCCACAAAAUGACAGCAGAAUGUUAAUAAAACUUUACCCUGUACCA